UAGGGAAUAUUAGUAAUGGGCGAAAGUCUGAUCUAGCAACACCGCGUGUGCGAAGAAGGCCUUCGGGUUGUAAAGCACUUUUUGGAAGGAUUAGGAAGGAAUGUACUUCCAGAAUAAGUCUCGGCUAACUACGUGCCAGCAGCCGCGGUAACACGUAGGAGGCAAACGUUAUCCGGAUUUACUGGGCGUAAAGCGCGUGUAGGUGGUUCUGUAAGUAGGGCGUGAAAGCUCCUGGCUCAACUGGGAGAGGCCGUUCUAAACUGCAGAGCUAGAGGAUGGUAGAGGGAGGUGGAAUUUGGGGUGUAGCGGUGGAAUGCGCAGAUAUCCGGAGGAACACCAGUGGCGAAAGCGGCCUCCUGGACCAUUCCGGACACUCAGACGCGAAAGCUAGGGUAGCAAACG
rnacentral:rRNA from 1 species